rnacentral:lncRNA from 1 species
GCCGGUCAGUGGAACGGCGAAGUGACUGCUGUCACACCCGGUUUCGAAGGUAAACCGAAUGCGAACCAUGUACGUGCCAGGAUCAGAAAUUCACGUACACAGCGAUUACAUAAAUGACUCAUCAUAGCACAAUGCUUCGAAUUACAAUAAAGAGUAAGUAAUAAUAUUACAGACUAGAGCCAUUUACAUAAUAUAAAUCAAAGUACACAGAAUCGAAACGUAGCCAACGUAAACAACCCACCACAGGCAGCUGACUGGGGGAGAUCGCUAGCCUAAUCCUCGAACUCAUCAACGUCCUAGAACUCCUGGAGAUCCACCUCGACGCCUUCUUCUUUGCCUGAGCAUAGAUUGCACCAAAGGCAACCUGGUGUUUUGUGAAAGCAAGGGUGAGUACACAUCAACGUACUCAGCAAAUGUCCCGUUUGGUUGAGGUGGACUAGCUUUAUGUGGGGUUAAGCUCAAGCAGUUGCUUUUAAUUGGUCAGGUAUUUAUUAUUAGUGGAAGCCAAGUUUUAUCAUAUAACCAACCCGUGAAUCAUUUCCUCAUCGAGGAACAUCAUUAUUGUCAUCGAACCAAAAUAAUAAAUAGAACCAUUGUAUCUCAGAUCAUUUGUAUCUCUAAUCAAAGAGGAUCCCAAGGCUGCUCUUAACCGUGAGCACGGCUGAUAUACCAGUUUCACUACCCUCUGCAGAGGUCGCACACUUUACCCAUGAGCCGUGAUUCCCUCUCUAGCCCGGGCUUGCAAGACCCUUAUUCACUCCCGAGGUGAAUGGCCAGGGAUUCACUACGAAGCCUUUACAAAGAUUCCCUAGAGGUCAUAGCUGCCCGUUAGGUUUCUCCAGUUUGAUAAACACAGUACCUCUCCCCGCAGGAGGGUGACUCAAAAGCAAAACGAAAGAACCUCGGCACCCAGCCUCGGCAGAGCAAGCACUGUGCCUGGACCCCAUUGACGGCACGACGGCGAAGCAACUACACUUCUAGUUCCUCUAAUUAAUUAGCUAAGGGCACCCCAUUCCACCCUCAUGGUUGCACUGUUAUCCCGGGUGGUCUCUCAACGAACAGGUCCUUACGGAGAGGUACUCGGGAAACAGCCCGAGUCCCCUAAAUGCCACAAGUAUAUCAUCAUAUCCAGAAUAAAAUCAUAGUAUCAUCAUUGUAUCUCAUCAUGUUCAUUGAUUAAAGUAAAUUGCUAGCAUGUAGCUAACCAUAGUAACCCAAAAGGUAAAUCAAGGACCAGGUAAAUAGAAAGCUAGUCAAUCCUUAGGUUGUUCAUAGUAUGCGGGACAGUGAAUUAUAAAGUAAAUAGGACAUAAUGGGUCAGAGGACACUUGCCUUCACGAAACAGAUGCUCAGGAUCUUCAACCUCAUAGAACUCAGAGAGCUUGAUCACUUGGUCGCCAACGCUUGAUCGUCGAUUCCUCGAAGCUCGGGAACAGAUCGCAAUCUAUUCGAGACGCGCAACGAAUCCAAACAGGCACAAGCAAAUAUAUAUUUGCAUAAGAACAUUACACCAUACAAGAUAAAAUAUUAUCAAAACACACAAUAUAAAAAUAGAGAGCGCUUAUACGGUUACGCGAAGAUAAGAAAUGCAACGGUCGAAUCUACGGUCGAUAAGUUAUUGCAUUUACGUUAAACAAGUAUAACUAUAACCUUUAAUUCGACAUUAUUAAAUACAAACUAUAUCUAAUAUUUAGUUUCGCUUAACCUGUUACACUAGCAGCUAUCAGUUAAACAAAUAAUUUAAUUAAAGUGAGAGAUUCUAAGUGAGGCAAAUUUACGACGCGCGAAACAGCACGACAACGUGUAGAACGACGCGCGGUCACGCACGACAUAGCACACUGAUGACACACGUAACAACGCGCGCGACCAACGCGAAUGACGCGCGAAUCAGCACGCCACUAUAUGUGGAACAGCACGCUUGACACAUGCGAAACAACGCGCACGACGGCGCGCGACACACACAAGUCAACGUGAUUAUGCGCGCGAACAGCACGAUGACGCGUAAACGAAGUCGCGCACGAAGAGCAAACAAAUAAUUGAUGAAAUAUAUUUCAGUUGGUAUUAAUCACGUUAAUUAACAUUUAUAUUCAUAAAAGCAUGAGUUAAAAUUAUAGACUUGUUCUAAUUAAAUUGUUAUUUUAUUAACCGACAACUAAACAAGAAUUGAGUAAAUAGCGCGAGCGGCCAAAAUGGAAAUAAUUAAAUAACGCGCGGAUAGCGCGCGAGACACACGCAAUCAGCAAGAGACGACACACGCGGCCGAGGAACCGAGGCGAUCGAUGCAACGGUCGAGAGAUAUCGCGUGCAUGCUAAGCGGAUAUUAAUUACAAUAUUUUAACUCAACCUAGUCAUAUUAACAGGUAACUAUCACAUGCAUAGAUAAAAUUGACGCUUGUUUUGAUGAGUUUGCUACUCGGUUACUCGCUGUUUAAUUACGUAAAUUAAUUAACAUGAGUGAUUCUAGGCGAAACAGUUUAUUGUCGUGCGACACGGCACACAACCCACUAAACAAGGUGCGCGGAACGGCGCACGAGACAACGCGCGUCGACACGUGUGAACAACAUGCACGGUGCGCGCGAACGACACGCGAUGACACAACAUGUGGGAAAUUGACUUUUCGUGCUUGUAUUAAACAAAUAUUAAUCCAACACAUUUGAGUAGACAUAAUCUCAUUAGCAUGUAUUUGUAAAAGAGACAAUUAAAACUAUAAAUUAGUUUUAAUCGGAUUGCUAUUUUAAUAUCCAUGAGAUAAAUAAAUAAUUAUUAGUUACUUAAUUAAAAUAUAUGUGUCAAGACAAAAAAAAUAAUAUGUUUAUCACAUACAUGACGUUAUUAUGGAGCUAACACAACAGGAACGAAGUCUAACGCAACAGGAACAAAUUUAUAACGCAACGUAUAUUGAAUAAUAUUUAAGCAAUGCAUAACGUAUUGAAUAAUUAACAAUUCGCGGCUAAACGCGACGCGACAUACGAAUACCACUAGGUUAUGAUUAAAUGCGCAGAACAAUACUUCUAAGUUGAUUUUAGUUAAUAUAAAAUAUUUGCGUAAGAUAUUUUAGAUAAAUUGAACUAUCAAUUAGUCAAUGAUUAAACAAGGACUAAUUACUAAGCAUCAACGAUGAUAGAGAAACGAUUAACUAAUGUGCGCAGAUCGCGUGCGCGACACACACGAAACAUCGCGAAUGGACGGAGACGGCGCACGCGAACCGCAACAACGACACGUGCGGAUAGCACGAGCGGUACGCGCGGCAACGUGCGGAACGCGAUAAAAUUAAAUAAUCGUCGCAUUUAUAUCAAACGAAUAUUAGAGCAAAAUAUUUGAGUUACUAUUAAUUAUGUCGACGAGUAUUUAUAAACGCAAGUUAACUACUUAUAAAUUAGUUUAAUUGAAAAGUCUAAUUAAUUAACGUUAGUUAGACAGAAAUAUAAUUAAUUAUUUAGACAUGCGACAUGGUGAAACAAGGUAACUAACGCGUAGACGAUGCUCACCUCGCAACGACGACGGAUGGCUAGACGAGUUCGCAGCGAGGCACGUGCCCAACGACGGCGAGGGACGGACAGGACAGCACAGGGGCUCGCCGGUGGUGACGAAAAUGGCCGGAGCAGGAGCGAUGCCCAACGAACGGUGGAGAGGCGGAUGUGCAGCGAGACGGCUCCAAUGAUGUUGCGCAGGCCGCGCUGGCCGCGCCGGGCCACCGCGCCGCCGCGCUGGGGCCGAUCUGCCGCGCUCGUGCCUGGGCACCGGGAUGCUGCGCCGCGCCUGCACGCUGGCCGCACCGGUUGGUUGCGGGCCACCAAGCCGGCAGACCGCGCUGGCCGCGGGCGAGCAGAGAGGGCAGUGGUGAGGCUCCUGGUGCAGCAGUCGCGAGGAGAGAGGGAGAGAGGUUACGCGCAGGGAGAGAAUGCAGGGCGGCUCCAAGGCAUCGUGCAUGUUCUGGUUGAGGAGGGAGAGGGGCCGACUGGUGGGCCAGCUCGGCAAGGCAUGCAGCACAUGCAAGCGACGACCAGGGGCGGUUGCUGCGUGAGCGAGGGGCAAAGGGGCAGUUCCAGAUCAUGGGUGUUGACUGAGCUACUGCAUGCCUAUAUGGAUGAGACGCCGGACUCCACUCUUGGAAACCAUGCAUGCAAAGAGGCCGGUCACGCUUGCAAGAAAACUAGAGACGCCAACCACCAUGGCAUGCAUAUACGAACCACAUGCAAGGAAAAAGAAAACAAAUACCUCCAUGCCAUGCACGUGAGAGAAAAAUAGGUUUAGGGAUUUAUCUUUGGUGUUGAGACCAAAGUAAAUUAACUAGAUAUUAAAGCACUCAAACAAUCAUAAAAGAGUAUGCACCAACAUGAAAUGUAAUAAAAUAUGUAGACCUUAAGAUUUAUUCUAGUUGACUUAUUAAUAAAAGGAAAAAACUUAAUAUUGUUGUUUCGUGAUCCUAAAUCACUUGAACCUUAACAAAUUAAACUAAAUUUGGAAAAUAAAAUUGACGCCUAAAAAAAAUUAGGGUGUUACAAAUUUAACCCCCUUAACAAGAAUCUCGUCCUCGAGAUUCAAGAGGAGGCUAGCAAGAAAAUGAGAUUGGUUCAUUAGUCUUUCAUAGCUUCUUCUAACUAAACUUUGACUCCGCCGGCUUGACUUGUGGAUUGGUUGCUUUGACCUUUAGAUGCUUCAGACCGAUUGAUGCAAUUCUUGAGGAUCUCCUAGACCUGUGGGUUAGGACCCACACACGCUUUCGCUGCGCCACUCUGAUCUUGUUGGUUGAUGUUGAUCGCAUUGUCUUCAUUGGGGUUAGCGGCUAACCCCCUUAACAGGAGCGUUGAUAUGCACUUGGUGAAGAUGCUGCUGACUCUGAUCUUGAUUGAUUUGGAUGAGUUGGAGGUUGCCAAAAGGACAGGUGCAAGAGGAAAGAAUACAGAUAGAAAAGGUAAGCAUAGAUAGAUUAAAGAGAAAAAAGGGAGAGCACCCAGCUACCUAACUCUAUGGCACUCAGCUAGUAAACUGAUGUCAUUGCGGACCAAGGACCACAACACAUCAACACUCAUCACAAAGAAGCAAAUCAGUCAUCACACAAAGACAAACAACACAAGCAUACAACAACAAACAUCUCGUUGCUAUACGUAACUUUUAAUUAAAUGGUGGUCUUUCCUUACCAAGGGGAAACUAUUCUAAGGCCAUCAAAAGGCAAGGGGAAUAAUAAGACAUACAGAAUAGGGGCAUGAGCACUAUAAAGGAUGGAGCUAAAGCAAGGAUUGUAACUGACAGGGGAGAGAAUGCAACCAAGGUCAGGAUAGGUAAAACACCAUUCUCAAAUCAAGAUGGAAGAGAUGAUAUUUCAAAAGGUAGGCAUAAGAUAACAUCAUGGAAAGAUCUAGAGACUACAAAGGUAAGGGAGGUGAAAGGCAAAAGCACACCAAAAGAUAGAGUUAGGACAAGACUUGCAAAGCAAUAGAGUAAAAAGGGAACGAACAAGAGCGGGAUGGGCAAGACAUCACUCUUGAAAUGAAAUGGGAGGGGAGGCUUAAAACGCAGGUGCAAGAUAAGCAUCAUGGUAAAGAACAGGGGAUGACAAGGGUUAAGGUGAUAACAGACAAACACAACCAAGGAUGUAUUUGAGGCAAGACUUGCAAGAUGUCAAAGAAGGGGGAGCAGUCAAUUAUGAAAUAGAUGAGGCAUUAUCCUCGAACAUGGAUGGGAAAGUGGAGGCUUUAAUGGGUAAGUUCAAAGUAAGCAUGAAGGUAAGGGUAUAGAUAUCACGAGAGUUUUAAAGGUAAUAACGGACAAGGAUGUAUGAGAGGAGAUAAGUAGGCAUAAGACGAAGGAUAUAAGUACCAUAAAUAAUGGAGUUAAGACAGGACCUGCAAAUGGAAAAGGAGAGGGUACGUCCAAGGGCCAGAUAGGUAGAUUGCCACUCUCAAAUUGAGGUGGAAGAGAGGAGAUUUUUAAAGAGCCAAAAUAAAAAUGAGUAUCAAGGCAAGAUCGAUGGAUGACAAGGUGAGGGUGAUAGCAAAUAAAAACAUGUCAAAGGUUGGUGUUAAGACAAAACUUGUGAGGCGACAAGGAGUGAAAAAGAAAUCAAGGAAGAGAUGGGUAACUCACAAUUCUCAAACUGGGUUGAAAGAAAGGGGAGGCUUCUAAAGGAUAAGUUCAAGGUAAGCGUUUAAGUAGAAGACAUAAAUAUCACAAGGGACAGAGGCAAUAACAAACAUGGGUGUGAGAGAGAAGAUGAAGGCAUUGAAGAACUAGUGGUAUGAUUACAAAAAAUAAUGGAGUUGCACCCAAGAUUACAAGUGGUAAAGAAGAGGAUAUAGCCAAGGGUGAGGUAAGUAAAACACUGCUCUCACAUUAGGAUAGGAGAUUGGAGAUUUUCGAGAACGGACAUAGUGUAACUACCAAGGUAAGAUCGAGAGAUGAGAAAGGUAAAGGUAAUACCCAACCGGAGCACCACAAAGGAAGGAGUUAAGAACUCGCAAGCGACAAGGAAGGGGAUACGACCAAGGGGAAAAUAGAUAAAGUACAACGCUCAGAUUGAGAUGAAAAGAGGAGAUUUUAAAGGGCCGGUAUAAGAUAAACAUCAAGGCGAUAUAGAGGUGAUAAGGGUAAAGGUGAUAAUCGAGUAAGCAUAACCAAGGAUAGAGUUAGGGCAAGACUCGCAAAGUGACGAAGUGGAGAAAAUAAUCAAGGGUAAGAUAGGUAUGAUUCCAACAGAAGGGUUAAAGUAAAAAUUCAUUACCAAAGGAAAUUACAAAAGAAUUUACGAGAUCACCAAGGAUGUGCGAAAUAAAAUGAAUGCUCCUGGAUCAUCGAGAAACAAGGAUGGUCAAGGGCAUGCUAACUGAAAUGGCUUGAACAGUCAUUAGGGUGUAAAGGUAGGCAUAAAAAAAAAUAUGAUAGCAUGAGAGAUUUCAAGGAGAUGAGCAUACCAAUACCAAGAUACAAGAAAUUGUUGAAAGAUAGCGACUAAACAACAGAAGAGGAAAGGGUCUCAAAAGACAGGAAGGUCACAGACAUAUAAACUGAAAUGUUUAAGUAGGCAGUAGAAAUUUAAAGGCAAGUAUUUGAAACAAGAGUAUUGAAGAAUCUAGGAGUGUGAGCGUGUCAAUACUAAGGGAAUAAAGAUAUUCAAAGGGUAGCAAUUUAAUGACAGAGGUGGGAAGAGUCCCAACAGACAAAAGAUUAUUGGUCAGGGGGCAUCUACAAAGAUGUCGCAAGCACAAGAGUGAGAUAAGUUCUAAUAGACUGAGAGAAGUGUAGACCAUGCUAGAACAAAAUACUUUUUGACAAGGGGGCAUAUAGGAGCACAAUAUAGAAUUAGUCGAGGUGACUAAAAUUUUGAAGCAGAAUCAAGGAUGAGGUGAAGUAAUAAUCAAUAAGUCCUUAAAACGACCAAUGCUACUCUAGGUUAGCGGUCCUACAGUCAGCACGGCUUUGAUACCACUUAUGUCACACCCGGUUUCGAAGGUAAACCGAAUGCGAACCAUGUACGUGCCAGGAUCAGAAAUUCACGUACACAGCGAUUACAUAAAUGACUCAUCAUAGCACAAUGCUUCGAAUUACAAUAAAGAGUAAGUAAUAAUAUUACAGACUAGAGCCAUUUACAUAAUAUAAAUCAAAGUACACAGAAUCGAAACGUAGCCAACGUAAACAACCCAC